AAGUCGAACGGAAAGGCCUUUUCGGAGGUACUCGAGUGGCGAACGGGUGAGUAACACGUGGGUGAUCUGCCCUGCACUCUGGGAUAAGCCUGGGAAACUGGGUCUAACACCGGAUAGGACCGCACUUUAGUGUGUGUGGUGGAAAGUUUUUUCGGUGUAGGAUGAGCCCGCGGCCUAUCAGCUUGUUGGUGGGGUAAUGGCCUACCAAGGCGGCGACGGGUAGCCGGACUGAGAGGUUGGUCGGCCACAUUGGGACUGAGAUACGGCCCAGACUCCUACGGGAGGCAGCAGUGGGGAAUAUUGCACAAUGGGCGCAAGCCUGAUGCAGCGACGCCGCGUGGGGGAUGACGGCCUUCGGGUUGUAAACUCCUUUCGCCAGGGACGAAGCGUUUUGUGACGGUACCUGGAGAAGAAGCACCGGCUAACUACGUGCCAGCAGCCGCGGUAAUACGUAGGGUGCAAGCGUUGUCCGGAAUUACUGGGCGUAAAGAGCUCGUAGGUGGUUUGUCACGUCGUCUGUGAAAUUCCACAGCUUAACUGUGGGCGUGCAGGCGAUACGGGCUGACUUGAGUACUGUAGGGGUAACUGGAAUUCCUGGUGUAGCGGUGAAAUGCGCAGAUAUCAGGAGGAACACCGAUGGCGAAGGCAGGUUACUGGGCAGUUACUGACGC
rnacentral:rRNA from 1 species